rnacentral:rRNA from 1 species
GAUGAACGCUAGCUACAGGCUUAACACAUGCAAGUCGCAGGACUGGCGCACGGGUGAGUAAUGCGUAUCCAACCUUCCAAUAGCUACGGGAUAACCCGUUGAACGACGGCUUAAUACCGUAUGGUUAUGGUUGGGGAUGCGUCUGAUUAGCUUGUUGGCGGGGUAACGGCCCACCAAGGCGACGAUCAGUAGGGGGUCUGAGAGGAAGGUCCCCGACAUUGGAACUGGGACACGGUCCAAACUGCUACGAGAGGCAGCAGUGAGGAAUAUUGGGCAAUAGGCGAGAGCCUGAACCAGCCAAGGAGCGAGCAGGAUGUCGGGCUAUGGGUUAUAAGCUGCGUGUAUGUGAGGUUAGUUACCACAUGAAUAAGGACCGGCUAAUUCCGUGCCAGCAGCCGCGUUAAAC